CCCCCUCCAGCGUGCAGCCGCGCCACUUCCUGACCUUGGCACCCAUCAAAAUACCCCUCCGGACGUCCCCCUUCUCAGAUACAAGGACAGAGCGGGGCCGAGUGGCCCGCCCUCCUGCCCUGAUGCUGCGGGCCCAGAAGAGCCGGGAUGGAGACAAAGAAGACAAGAGUCUCACUCUGUCCCCCAGGCUGGAGUGCAGUGGUGUAAUCUCGGCUCACUGCAACCUCCGCCUCCAAGUUUCAAGUGAUUCUUCUGCCUCAGCCUCCCGAGUAGCUGGGACUACAGGAGCCUCCACCGAUGCUGGGGGGAGGAGAGGACAGCACAGCCAGAGGCAACAGGCCGGUGGCCUCCACCCCGGUGCCCGGAUCCCCCUGGUAUAAUUUUGCACUGUGGUCACAUUCUGCAGAAAGAAAAAAACAGCAUUUAAGCGACGAGCUAUCCUGCUCUGAUCUAUCUGUGAAUAUAUAUUAAAAUGAUAAUGCUGUUGCAUGUCUAUCAGCGAAAGGCAGUGGCUGAAGAAAGUGUAGCAUGCCUUAUGCUGCAGAAUAUCUGUUUUCCCUCCACUCCAAGAAGAAUCGUAACUGAAUGGCUGUUAAUUAAAGACGUGCCUGUUCUCUCUGUCGCCCUGCGUGGCUGCCUGCUCUCGGAAUAUGCCACACUCCAGACACCCUCCACGAGGGAGCCACAGUUUUUGGUUUUUAAAAAUGCCCUUUUAUAAUGGAGUCAUUUGGAAGCAGAAUAAAAGGUUAUUACAGUAAAAAUUAAGUUUCAAGCCUGAAGAUGAGAGUGCAGUACACAGCUGGGAGGCACAGCUAAUUUAAAGAACAGAAAUAGCAACCACUUGUGUCAGCUCAAUGUGCCAGCCAGGUACAGAAGGCAGCCGGCUAAGGAGCGCAGGGCCCCCACCAGCCUUGCAUAGUGAGUGAGCACAUCCCUGCUGACUGGGCCUGCUGUGCCAUGCCCUGGCCUUCUGAUGAUUCGGGUGAACUUGGCUCCAAUCUGGACAGACUGGCACCCCUGGCUUCUAUGCCAUGGUCAGUGUCGGUGGCAGGCUCCUGGUGCCUCCAGCCUUCCAUUUGUAGCUAAAGCUCCUCUGUACCCUGGGAGUGCCUCAGGGUAAGACCUCUUUGUACUAAUAUUAUGCUGUUUUCUAACCACCCAUUCUCCAACCCUUACAAUUUAGCUCGAUUCUGAUGCUAACUACUGGGAGUUAGAGUCAAACCCCACAGGCUGCGGUCAGUCCCUCAGGCUGCCCUGCUUUAGACAUUGGCUGCAAAUGGGGCCCCCCAGCUGCCUGCACAUCUGCCCAGCUGACCACAGAUCUGGGGUUCCCAUGACCUCCUCUCCACUUCAGUGGUGAUUUGCUAGGACCACUCACAGAACUCAGGAAGCGCUUUACUUAUGAUUACAGUUGUUUUAUCAAGGAUACAAUUCAGACAGCCAGUGGAAGCAAUGCUCAGGGUAAGGUGUGGACCUGACUGAGCUUCUGGGCCUCGCCGGCGCCACCCUCCCAGUGCUGCAGCGUUCACCAGCCUGGAAGCACUCUGAACCUCAGUGUUUUAGAAUUUUAAUGGAGAUGUAACUACAUAGGCAUGACUGAUGAAAUCAUCGGCCAAGUGAAAGGACUCAGAGGAUUGGGCAGCGCUGAAAGUGACGGCCCUCCAGUCACGUGGUUGGUGUUUCUGGAGACCAGCACCCUCGCUAAAGCUACUCAGGGGUCCUGAAGUCACAUGGUUGGUGUCUCUGGAGACCAGUACCCUCCCUGAAGCUACUCAGGGGUCCUGAAGUCACAUGGUUGGUGUCUCUGGAGACCAGCACCCUCCCUGAAGCUACUCAGGGGUCCUGAAGUCAUUUCAUUUGCGCAGCCUCAGGCACAGGUGUUAUUCCUACCAGGUCAGGGACUUGGUAGGAAUAACAAGAUGCUUUCUUCGCUCAGGAAAUUCUAAGAGUUUGGGAAGCUCUGUGUCAGGAAUCUGGAACAAAGACCGUAUACAUCCCUCUGCUGCUUAACGACAGGGGUAUAUUCUGGAAAGGCAUCCUUAGGCAGUGGCAUCCGACAUCCUUUUAUGCACAUCACAGGGUGUGCUCACACAGGCCUGGUGGCACAGCCUCCUGCAUGCCUGGGCUGCAUGGUGUAGACCGUGGCUCCCAGGCUGCAGACCACACAGCGCUGACUGCUCGGAGGCAGUUGUGACACAGUGGUGGGGAUGUGUGUGUCUAAACACAUCCAAAUGUGAGAAGGUAGAGUAAAAUUUGAUAUUAUAAUCUGACGGGACCACCAUGGUAUGUGUGGUCAGUCCAUGGUUGAGAGAAAUGUCACUCUGCGGCACAUGACUGCAUAUACAUUUUACGAUGCCACAAACUGGUUGAGAGCUUCUACAGGCAAACUCUCCAGUGUCUCCAAGGCAGGCACACUGCCGCAUAUCACGCUGCAGGAUGGGGAAACGUUCCCCAAGACCCUGUGGAAUCCUCACACAGCUUCCGCCAAGCUCCCCUGGGGGGUUGCAGGGAUCCAGAAGACUUGACCUUGAGCCCUAGAAUCUUCUCACUGUGAAAGCUGCGGCUUUCUUCUCCAGCGAUAUUGUGUUACCAUGAGCAAGGCUUCGUGCGAUCCAGCAAAUGAAAACGGUGCCCUGGCUGCUGCACUCCCCUCCCUCGGCGUGGGUCUUUGCCGAUGAAUCGUGGGUAUUGAGCAUGUUUGACUUUUGAAAAACUAGUAUCAAAAUCAUGUUCUGAGAUGAAGUUGGCAGAACUUUUCUAAAAAAGGAAAAGUUUCCCAAGACAUAAUACAUGUGGAUGAUGUUCAAGAAGAAAAAGGUGAUUAGAAAUGAUGGUGAUUACGAGAGAUGCGGGGCUCAGUCACAUCAGCCUGUGUCACUUUCUCCCGUGCACAGUCCCCUGACUUGCAGUUGCACUCGCUAAGCUGAGGGAGGACGCAUCGGUCUUCUUUGAGUGUGUGGUCUGGACGGGCGAUGACCGAGUUUUCUUCUUCAACCCAACGAUGCACCUGUCUGUCUGGGAGAAGCCCAUGGACCUGAAGGACCGCGGAGACCUCAACAGGAUCAUUGAGGACCCGCCCCACAAACGCAAGCUGGAGGCACCAGCAACUGAUAACAGCGAUGGGUCCAGUUCUGAAGACAACAGGGAAGACCAAGAUGUGAAAACCAAGAGGAACCGGACCGAAGGCUGUGGGAGUCCCAAGCCAGAGGAGGCAAAGAGAGAGGACAAAGGCACAAGGACGCCGCCCCCGCAGAUCCUCCUGCCCCUGGAGGAGCGUGUGACCCACUUCCGAGACAUGCUGCUGGAGAGAGGGGUAUCAGCAUUUUCUACCUGGGAGAAAGAAUUACACAAAAUCGUGUUUGACCCACGCUAUCUCCUGCUCAACUCUGAGGAACGAAAGCAGAUAUUUGAACAGUUUGUCAAGACAAGAAUAAAAGAAGAAUACAAGGAAAAGAAAAGUAAAUUGCUGCUAGCCAAAGAAGAAUUCAAGAAACUUCUAGAGGAAUCUAAAGUGUCUCCCAGGACCACGUUUAAGGAGUUUGCAGAGAAAUACGGCCAGGAUCAGAGGUUCCGACUUGUUCAAAAAAGAAAGGACCAGGAGCAUUUUUUCAACCAAUUCAUACUUAUUCUUAAGAAACGGGACAAGGAAAACAGACUAAGGCUGCGGAAAAUGAGAUGAGUUUGUGAAAAAAUGCAAUAAGCCCGGGGGUUGACCCUGGGCGUGCCGGGGGCGAGGGGGUCACUGUGGAGACGACACGGGCGUGGGGCGGCCGAGACCUGCACGGCCCAGCGGGCACCGGCACUGCGGGGUCUUCGUUCUCAGAGGAUUACUGUUUCAUAUUGAAGCUCUCUCUUUUGUACAUUCAGAGUUUGAUGCAUUUCUAAUCACCAUGAUACGUCGAUCCCUUAAUUGUUUUAAUUAUGCAAAUUACUUGUAAUAUACACAAAUUAUCAAUCCACUGCAGGACUGUGGGGAAGCAGGAACGGGAGCCUCUGUAACAAUCUCAACGCAUUUGUGUCAUCACCUAAGACGAUUGGCGAAAACUUUUCUGAAAACCUUUGUGAAUUACUUCGUUCCUCCAGGAUUCCCGAAGUGUUGAGGAAUUCCUUACUCUGUCCCUAGGUCUCAGUCUCGUUUCUGAGUAGCAGCAAUAGGGUUUUCAUCAUUCAUCAUAGUGACAACUGUGAGCAUCCCACACCUGGACCGUGGAUCACUUACAGGUUUCCAAGGGUGGCCGCGCGUUCCUCCCAGAGGGGCGUCCCGGCCUGGAGCAGGGAGCCGUGCUGGUUGCCACCGGUCCUACUUCAAAAGAAUUAUUUUGUACAAAAUCAUCAUAUUAAUAUUUGAGUUAUUUUUAUUGUAUGCCCAGAGUUUGCAUGAGAUUUUUUCUCAUCACCUUUGUAUAAAAAAUUUUUAAUUUUUUUUAAUCAAUAAAUAUUUUAAACCAG
rnacentral:sRNA from 1 species